ACAGAUGAAAACGCAGUGCUGGCGGUAUGAGAUUUCAGCACGGGUCCAGAUUAAACUGGACUCUCCCAAAUGAGAGCUGACAGGCUCAACGAGCAGCAGAUCAUUUCUGGUGAGCGGAGCAGUCUGUGGAACCCGCCCCCACGGAGCAGAGGUGAGUCGGGUGGACCUGCCAGUCUGUGCAUGCUGAUGAGAUUGCGAGCGUGGCCAGAGUACGAGGCGAUGCGCCGCAAACGGGAAGUUGGCUUUGUUGACACAGCAUCUUUGCCAUUUUCAUGGUGAGCUGACUAAACAUCCAGCGCUGCGGGUCGUGUUUCACCAUUGACAGCAGACUCUGGACACCUUCUUUACAGAAAUUCCUCUUGAG